AAUAAAUUUCAAAAUUUCAAUGAACAAAAUUCUACAACUCAAAUAUUAAUUAUACAACUUAGAUACAUUAAUAUGGUCUAAACUAUCACAUUUAAACCUUUAAAAUUAUUGCUAAAAUUAUACAUGUUAUAGAGAUAUCUAAAAUUGUAAAGAUAUCACAUUUACCAAAAUUACAAACUUAACUAGACAAAUGAUUUGGUGACUUAUUCCUGCCUGCCAAAUAGCCUUUGAAUUGCAUCUUCAGCUAGCCUUUUUAAGUGUUCCAAAUCUCUACCUACCAAUAGACAUAGGUCUUCACAUGGGUUGACUGCGACUCGUAUUACCAAGUAGACCUAUAAACUCAAAAGUAACACACCAUAGAUGAGAACCUAAAUCAAAGCAAGUAGCACAAUUGUCAUAUAACCCAAUAA
rnacentral:misc_RNA from 1 species